GAUGAACGCUGGCGGCGUGCCUAAUACAUGCAAGUCGAGCGAACAGACGAGGAGCUUGCUCCUCUGACGUUAGCGGCGGACGGGUGAGUAACACGUGGAUAACCUACCUAUAAGACUGGGAUAACUUCGGGAAACCGGAGCUAAUACCGGAGAAUAUAUUGAACCGGAUGGUUCAAUAGUGACAGACGGUUUUGCUGUCACUUAUAGCUGGAUCCGCGCCGCAUUAGCGAGUUGGUAAGGUAACGGCUUACCAAGGCAACGAUGCGUUGCCGACCUGAGAGGCGCAUCGGCGACACUGGAGCUGAGGCACGGUCCAGACGCCUACGGGGGGCCGCAGUAUGGAACCUUCCGCAAUGGGGGAAAGCCUGACGGAGCAACGCCGAGUGAGUGAUGAAGGUCUUCGCAUCGUAACACUCUGUUAUUAGGGAAGACCAAAUGUGUAAGUAACUAUGCACGUCUUGACGGUACCUAAUCAGAAAGCCACGGCUAACUACGUG
rnacentral:rRNA from 1 species